rnacentral:rRNA from 1 species
CACCGCCCGUCACACCAUGGGAGUCGAUUGCUCCAGAAGUGCCUGAGCCAACCGCAAGGAGGCAGGGCCCAAGGAGUGAUCGGUAACGUGGGUG